AAAAAAAAGGCGGAACAGUUUUAGCAGCAUUCCCGUGAGAGUUUUGGUUCCAAAUAUUACAUUUUUCAGCACCAUUUUAACGUAACCCUCAAAAUAAAGAUAUCCUAAAAUUUUCAACCCACAAAAUAAAGCCCAUAAUUUGAAAAAUAAAAGGUGCGGCGGUUGAUGACUUAGCUCCAACGACGAUCUGAGGCGCGGUGGUUGGCGAUAUCAUCUCCGAUGACGAGCUGAGGGGCACGGUGGUCGGCAAUAUCAUCUCCUCCACUUCUUCGUUUGAUUACAGGAUUUAUGCUGGCUGGAUCAAUACUCAUGGUUAGUGGCAAUAAUGCUCAACUUAAGUUGCUGCAUAACUGAUGCUGGUGCUGCUUAAGUUGCUGCAUAAUUGCUGGUGCUGUUGUUGGAGGCAUGAUGGAUGCUUUGAUUGAUUUGUUGUUGUAGAGAUAGAAACUUAGUUGAAAGAAUUGCAGAUGCUACUGCAGUGAAAUCAUGGUGAUGGUGCUGAUCAACGAUCUUUUGGUUGUUUCUGUCAUCUUCAAAAGAAAGAAGCCUCUACAUUCCAUUAUAUAUGAAUAUAAAAUUUGUAUAAUAUAAUCUUCAUAUAUCUAAUCCAGCCUUGUAAAUGUUUGACUCAGUAUUCAGUUUGAUUAAAUUAUACUUCUGCUUUUGUUUGAUAUA